CUGUCCACCAGAACUCCUUGCUCACCAUGUCAUCAGGAUAGAGCAUCAAGGCAUGUGCACAUGAAGGCAUUCUUGGUAUGAAGUAGAAAAAAGAUCCACACCAGCCGGAAGCAGACAGUGAGAUGGCUUAGAUGACCCCUACUUCAAGAUAAUUCAUCUGUUUUUCCACAGCAUUUGGUGUGUUGGCUGGAAAGCAAAAUCAGGCUAGCCUUUUGAGCCACCUAUCUCAAGUCAUUUUCCCCCUGGGAUGGGCAUUGCGGUAUGGAGAGAUAGGCACGCACUCAUCUCGUUUGACGGGAUCCCUCAGCUGUGAUGCCUGCCCCAAGGUCUAGUGUUCCUGGAACAUCAGGCUCCAGUUUGAGAGAAAGACCAACUCCCAGACCAUGAUGCAUCAACCGUGGUCAACUCUGGUAAUCUGAUCCUGAAGAGCAGCCUUGGGGACCAGCCACAGCUCUGACUUCUCAGGGGAAAGGUCACCAGCCUCACCCAUUGUCACCUGAUGAGCAGCUUCAGUCUGGGACAACCUUACUCUUCGGAUGCUCCUCUGAGAGACCCAAGGGCCUCCGCAGAUAGGUACAGAUGGGCUAUUACGGAAUGCAGAGCAACCUUCUAUUAUGAGCCCUUUACCACCACUGAUUUGCUUAAUUGGAAACACCACACACACAUUCUCCUUACUUGGAACAGCCCCAGGCAAUGAUAAGUUCAUGGAGUCUAUACUAAACCCAUCAGCCCACUUGGGACAACUGCCAACAACUGCUCCUCACCAUUCUUAAUAUAGAGGAGUGCAACAGAGUCCUUGUAACAGCAAAGACAUGGCUACAAGAGCACGACCCCAACGAUGAGGUAGAUUCUGAGGCUUGGGCCACAACUGCCUUUCUGAAUGAAAAGCCUAACUGGGAUUUCCAUCCUGAGAACAGCCACGCCCAUCUCAGCAAGUAUCGAGAGGCACUCCUGCAAGGGAUGAAAGACGGUGCAAAGAACCUACAAAUAUGGCAAAAACUACAGAAAUAAUUCAAAAGAUAGACAAGCUGCCAGGGCAGUUUUAUGAGAGGCUCUGUGAAGCAUACUGGAUCUAUAUUCCAUUUGAUUCAGAGAACUCUGAAAGCCAACGGAUGAUUAAUGCUGCAUUUGUUGCCCAAUUGGCCCCUUACAUCUGUAGAAAACUCUAAAAGCAGGAAGGCUUUCUGCCACUCAACUCCUGGAGAUCCUUAAUUGAGUCUUCAUGAAUCUAGACUGUGAGGAGAAAAAGGAAGUGGGCUGGUGGAUGAAGCAGAAAGCAGCCCUGUUGGAUGCCACCCUCAGACAACUGGAUGCCCCACCUGGUCCAAGAGGGGAGUCAGAAGUCAGCUGCCCUAGGCUUAGGCCAACCCAAUGCACUUACUGCAAGUAAGAUGGGCACUAGAAGGAUGAAUGCCCCAAGCAGAAGGCAAAACAAGGAAGGUUUUUACCUGAAGCCCACCAGGAGCCCCCGAGACUUUCCCGCAGUCUGGGCUGAGAGGAGCCCGCCAAGGAUGGUGGUCAACCACCCACCUAUAGUGGUCAAACUAGCACCUCAGGUGCAGCCUGUGCACCUUUGCUGGUACCCAAUAAGCUCUCGUGGGGCCCCUAACAGUUAUUAUUUUGGCCCUGGAUGUCGGACCAUGUGUUCUUAAUCUGAUUACACAGUUUAUAACCUCCCAUCUUGAGGCUAUAAAGUAUCAGAUGCUUGUCACAACCUGGGAAGUUACGUUUACUGCCCCUCUGUUGAUUGAUGAUCAUUGAAUGUGAUUGAGGAUGCUCAAGAGGGGAGAAUGAUGUGGAGAAGCCCUGAACUUAUGAGUAACCUUAAAGCAACCCAAGGCUGAUGGCUGCCUGAACUUUCUGUUCCCUACCGUGUGGGAAUAAAAGAGUUCUUUUUUCUCUCCAGAGUGCCAUGUUUUUGUUCUUCAGCAUCUGUUUUUCUGCAAUAAGAUCACAAUGUGUAUUGAUUAAAUCAGGAUA